rnacentral:tRNA from 1 species
UUGGUUCAGUGGUAGAAUGCUCGCCUGCCAUGCGGGCGCCCCGGGUUCGAUUCCCGGCCGAU